AUGGCAGAGGAAAAACAAGGACAUGGAACUAAUCCUCCUCAGGGACCUACAAAAACAAGUUGGCCUGAGCUAGUUGGUGUCUCUGCAGAAGAAGCAGAGAGGAAAAUAAAGGAAGAGAAGCCUGAGGCUGAAAUUCAAGUGGUGCCACAAGAUUCAUUUGUUACCGCUGAUUAUAAAUUUCAGAGAGUUAGAUUGUAUGUUGAUGAGUCUAACAAGGUUGUUAGAGCUCCAGCAAUUGGCUAG